rnacentral:ncRNA from 1 species
CCGGAUACCCUGGGGGAUCGCACCGGAUAAAGCGGUCCCCGCCCAGUCCCCG